GCGAGAGUAGCUCAGUGGUAGAGCUCCACCUUGCCAAGGUGGAUGUCGCGAGUUCAAGUCUCGUCUCUCGCUCCA
rnacentral:tRNA from 1 species